AGCGUAGGCGGCGUGGUAAGUCAGAUGUGAAAUCCCGGGGCUCAACCCCGGAACUGCAUCCGAUACUGCCAUGCUCGAGGAUUGGAGAGGUAGCUGGAAUUCUUGGUGUAGCAGUGAAAUGCGUGGAGAUCAAGAGGAACACUCGUGGCGAAAGCGAGCUACUGGACAAUUCCUGACGCUGAGGCUCGAAGGCCAGGGUAGCGAAAG
rnacentral:rRNA from 1 species